UUGUAGUGCUUCUACACAUUAGUUUGGGUAUCUGGCAUGUCUACCGUCCCAAAAACUCUGGAAAAAAAUCACUCCCGCGAUUUGUUGUGGUUCCUCUAUUUCAGAAACUAUGUGCUAAAGUGCGUCCAAUGGAAUUUCCCCCGAAAUAGACGUCAUAGUCGAAAAAUGCCCAUUUAGUACAUUCCCCCAUAGCUCUAUGCACUCCCCCACUACCACUCGACCCACCCCUAGAUGGACCCUCCCACUUUAUAGAAGCUCGGUCCACCGGUGUCCGCCAUUUCAUUCUUGCAAGCCUUGGAAACACUUGGAUAAGCUAACAGCAGCAUGAAUCGGUGGUCGGCUGCAAACAUGUCUUCAUGUGACACCAGCUUCAGAAGACACAAGAUUGAGAUGGAUUGAGUUCAUAUAUGAUGGCAACGUUCCUGCCACCACUUUGAAUCUGACUGUUUUAUCAACCUGGGCCAAUAUAACGCUGGAUUCUCGAAAAGGUUGUUAUUGAAAGAGGGGUCGGUGCCAUCUUUCCAUCGCAAUACUGAAGACGAGGGAAAUGCAAGCACAUCUGUUCACGGUGCUAGGCUACAUCACGUAGCAUGCCAGACGGACCCACCACAGAUGCGCACACAUGGAACGCAGCUUUCUAUGAAAACACUGCGACCUCACUACAAAAGUACAGGCACACAGAAAACUGUGCUGCACUGAUGUUGGUGUUGGGACCUCAGCUGUAAGAGACCUCGCUUGGAGGAGGGACAGGACAACCCAAGUUGUUCAAGUAUGGACUUCGGAG